rnacentral:lncRNA from 1 species
AGCGUUGCCAGUGAGAGCAUGAAGUCCCGCUGUUGAUCUUCACAGGCAAAGCACCUCCUCCUCCUCUUUUGAUGAUGCCUCCCGGAAGAGCCUGAACACCUUACUGAAGUCUCUAAAUCUCCAUUUCCUCUUCUGUAAAGUGCCGACGCCUCACAGUACUGUGGUGAGUGAAAUAAUGAAAUAGUAAUUAAAUGAGAUAAUCAGGUAAUGUAUUUACUGAUCCUUUACUCUGGAGGUUCUAGAAUGUUCUUGUAGUAACCAAAGGUAGAUGACUCAUU